CCUGCGUACACUGGUGGGUAAUAGAUCGGCAAGGUAAAAUCUCGCGUAAUUCAACGGCUGAUCCAGAGCCCGGCGUAUGGAGGAAGAGAUCUUUCCUUUGACUAAAUCGGCGUCGAAGUGAUANNNNNNNNNAUUGAGGUAGGGAAAAGUCAUAGUUAUCGUGCGGCGGAGCUCAGCGCGGCGGUGCGUGGCGAUGAAAUGAAAGACGAAGUUCUCAGGGCAAGCAGCAUG
rnacentral:misc_RNA from 1 species